AUGACAUCUCCUGGUUUCAAUGAUGUUUCUAGAGACAAUAUCUCUCUCUUCAUCACUCAAUACCUAGGUUUACCUCCACUGUAUUCACAUCCUACCUUACCUUUGUCUGUACAUUAUACCUUGAUGCUAUUUUAUCGCCCCCAGAAACCUCAUUUUACUCUCUGUUCCAGACGUUCUAGACGACCAAUUCUUAUUGCUUUUAGCCGCACCCUUAUUCUACUCCUCCUAUGUUCCUCUGGCAAUGUAGAGGUGAAUCCAGGCCCUGCAGUGCCUAGCUCCACUCCUAUUCCCCAGGCACUCUCUUUUGACGACUUCUGUAACCGUAAUAGCCUUGGUUUCAUGCAUGUUAACAUUAGAAGCCUCCUCCCUAAGUUUGUUCUAUUCACUGCUUUAGCACACUCUGCCAACCCGGAUGUUCUAGCUGUGUCUGAAUCCUGGCUUAGGAAGACCACCAAAAAUUCAGACAUUUUAAUUCCAAACUACAACAUUUUCAGACAUGAUAGAACUGCCAAAGGGGGCGGUGUUGCAAUCUACUGCAAAGAUAGCCUGCAGAGUUCUGUCCUACUAUCCAGGUCUGUACCCAAACAAUUUGAACUUCUACUUUUAAAAAUCCACCUCUCUAAAAACAAGUCUCUCACCGUUGCCGCCUGCUAUAGACCACCCUCUGACCCCAGCUGUGCUCUGGACACCAUAUGUGAACUGAUUGCCCCCCAUCUAUCUUCAGAGCUUGUGCUGCUAGGCGACCUAAACUGGAACAUGCUUAACACCCCAGCCAUCCUACAAUCUAAACUUGAUGCCCUCAACCUCACACAAAUUAUCAAUGAACCUACCAGGUACCUCCCCAAAGCCUUAAACACGGGCACCCUCAUAGAUAUCAUCCUAACCAACUUGACCUCUAAAUACACCUUUGCUGUUUUCAACCAAGAUCUCAGCGAUCACUGCCUCAUUGCCUGCAUCCGUAAUGGGUCAGCGGUCAAACGACCUCCACUCAUCACUGUAAAACGCUCCCUGAAACACUUCAGCGAGCAGGCCUUUCUAAUCGACCUGGCCGGGGUAUCCUGGAAGGAUAUUGAUCUCAUCCCGUCAGUAGAGGAUGCGUGGAUAUUUUUUAAAAAUGCCUUCCUAACCAUCUUAAAUAAACAUGCCCCAUUCAAGAAAUUUAGAACCAGGAACAGAUAUAGCCCUUGGUUCUCCCCAGACCUGACUGCCCUUAACCAACACAAAAACAUCCCAUGGCGUUCUGCAUUAGCAACGAACAGCCCCCGUGAUAUGCAGCUGUUCAGGGAAGCUAGAAACCAUUACACACAGGCAGUUAGAAAAGCCAAGGCUAGCUUUUUCAAGCAGAAAUUUGCUUCCUGCAACACUAACUCAAAAAAGUUCUGGGACACUGUAAAGUCCAUGGAGAAUAAGAACACCUCCUCCUAG
ensembl:lncRNA